rnacentral:rRNA from 1 species
GACGUGGGCGACCCCGGCCAUAAAGGCAAGCUGCAGUCCUCAGUCUCAUCCAAUGUAUGCAGCAAUAGGCUAUAACACUCCCGAGAGAGCCACCUUCCUACUACCUUUAUCCAUCGGACAAAACUGAUGUUGACCCGUUUAAAGGAAGUACACCGAAGAACGGCUGAGUCCAAUAAACAUGAUUCAUGAAUUUCGUUUCCCUUUCAACAAUUUCACGUACUGUUUAACUCUCUUUCCAAAGUGCUUUUCAUCUUUCCCUCACGGUACUUGUUCGCUAUCGGUCUCUCGCCAAUAUUUAGCUUUAGAUGGAAUUUACCACCCAUUUUGAGCUGCAUUCCCAAACAACUCGACUCGUAGAGAACGUAUCACAGAGCACUGAUGAUUGUGUAAAGUACGGGAUUGUCACCCUCUUUGAUACCCUGUUCCAAGGGACUUAUACACAGUUCAGCACGGAAAACGCUUCUAUAGAUUACAACUCGGACAAUCGAAGACUGCCAGAUUUCAAAUUUGAGCUCUUCCCGGUUCACUCGCCGUUACUAGGGGAAUCCUUGUUAGUUUCUUUUCCUCCGCUUAUUGAUAUGCUUAAGUUCAGCGGGUAGUCCUACCUGAUUUGAGGCCAGAGUCAAAGUAAUUGUCCGAAGACGAUUAGAAGCAAACUUCA